CUUUAUAUCCCCCUUACUUUCCUCCUCUUUCUUCUAAGUGUUUUUUUCUAACUAUACCAAAAGCAACCUCACUUGCUCUCUCCUACUUCCUUCUUAGCAACUCCCCUCAUUACACAAUUUCCUUUAAUCCUUGCAUUUUUCUUGUUUUUUUCUUGUCCAUUUGUCACCAAUAUUUAUAUAGUCUUUUAGUUGCUUACUCAUCUCAAAUUAAAUAUACGAUAUACUUAUUUUGUCAUCAUUUGAGUUUUUACAACAAAAUGGAGAAAGUUAAAGGAUUGGAGAAAAAGAAAUUGAUUAGUGAGCUAACACAAGGGAAGGAGUUCGUAAAGCAACUGAAAAAACAGAUUGGUCCAUUGGCUUCACCUGAAGAAUGUGAUUUACUACUUGGGAAAAUAUUGUCAUCACUAGAGAAAUCAUUGUCAAUUCUUAAUUUGAAAGCACUUCUUCUUGAAGGUGGAAUUAAUGCUAAUAAUUCAACAUCUUCAUGUUCAUCAAUUUCAUUUCUUGGUAAUAAUAAUAGUCCCAUGAGUGAAGUUUUUGAUUCUCCAAGUCAUCAUUUGGACAAAAAUAUGGUCUCCAAGAAGAGAAAGAAAUCACAAGAGACUAAUCAAAUAACCAUUUCUGGGACGGGGCUUGAAGGUUCACAUGAAGAUGGAUUUAGUUGGAGAAAAUAUGGCCAGAAAGAUAUUUUAGGGGCUAAUCAUCCAAGGGCUUAUUAUCGGUGCACACACAGGCAUACACAGGGGUGUUUGGCAACAAAACAAGUCCAAAGAUCAGAUGGAAACUCAACAAUCUUUGAGGUAACAUACAAAGGAAGGCACAGUUGCAAAGUUGCACAAUCAGAUAUCUUUUCACUUAAUAAUCAAAAACGCCAGAAACACAACAAAAAACAAGAACAAGAGAUGGUAAUAUUCAACUCUACACCAAACCAUGACGCAGAAAACUUCAACAUCACAACAAAAGAAGAAGUUUUCACACCAUUUUCAUUUCCACCUACACCCCUAAACCUAGAGAAUAUUGAAGAGACAAAAUUCUUUUGUGAUUCCAUGGUGCCAUUGUUAACGUCCCAAAAUCAAGAAUUUGGAAUGGACUACAUGACUCUGCACUGCUCAAAUUCAGAUCUCACUGAAUUGAUCUCGACCCCGACCCCAACCUCGAUUUCAAAUUCCUCAUUUGUCGGAGAUUGGGAUUUGUCUGAGGAUUUUGAACCUAAUGUCAUAUUUGACAUUGAAGAGUUCUUUAGUUAAUAUCAAAUUAGAAUAUUAUUAGCAAGUUUGUAAUAGUAGCAAGUUUUGUGCAAUAAGUAUAUUAUUUUUUUAGCCUAAUUGAUCCUAAACUAAAGUCAAUUGACUGAUAUAUACAUAGCAUUCUGUGUAUAUGUGAGAUUUCUGUAAUAUGUUUAGGGAGUUGAGAUUUUUUGUAAUUUGUGUAAUUUUUAGUUCAUAAAAAUGGCCCAAUUAUAAUGAAAACAAAAUGGGCCCUAGAAAGUCCAACUGUCUUUUGUUUUCUUCAUCCUAAAAUGUUUGCCAAUUUGAAUUAGACUUUGUAUUUGUG